rnacentral:rRNA from 1 species
UAAAAUGAACGGGGUUUUCCGGUUUUGGGGGUGAACGAGCGGGGAGGCUGGCUUGGGCGGAGGUGGAAGGCGGGAUGUUCUCGCGGUGGCGGGGCAGCGAACGAGGGCGUAGUUAGCCAGGCUGGUUUUAGGUCGAGUUUAGGGAGCGGAGCGGAGCGGCACGGGGCCGACCACGGGCGACCGGACGGAGCAAGGAGAGCCACAGCCUAACCUCUCUAGCUAAAGGUACAGGGACGGAACAUGUCAUCGGUCGACAGCGAACGACAACGUAGACGCGUCGACCACGUACUGGGGGGGGAGGGUUUAGCAUCAGCGGCGGCCGUGUGGUAGACGGGUGGUAACGAGUUGGUGGCGAGGGUAGGGUAGGCCAACGCUCGAAACCGGAACUAAAACCACAGAUGGGGCAGAUCCCAAAGUUCGAGUUCGAGUCCCAGCCGCAAAGUCAAAGACGUUCACCUCCGCCGUUCGAUCUCUGUCGUUGACGUAUUAAACGUUCUUUUAGCAAAAGCCCCGGUAUGGCUACUAAAAGAACGUUCAACACGUCAACAACAGAGUUCGAACGACGGAGGGAAACGGUCUUGAUACCUUAAACUUGAAUGUCAAUUCACUACGGUGUAGUCCAAACGGUUUUCAUAAUUUUCUCUGUACCACUUUUCGUACUAACGGGAUAGUCACAGUACUUUCAUGACUUAGUGUACCAUUAUACACGUUGAAAUAAACUGGCUCAUAUUAAGUAUGUUAUUUACAACUCUCCUGUUUAUCCAAUAUCUUAUUUUGUAUAACGUUCACCCUUUGGAAACCAAAACAAAGGAAACCCAUGAAGUCAGGUUACUGACAGUUCCGCGUGGGUUUUUUUGACUGAAUCACUACAGUCCAACUUGUAUAUAAAUAUGUGGGGUGUACUAAACAACAGAAUCAGUAGAGAUUAAGAGUGUUUACGAAGACACUCCGUUUAAUUGGACAAUCGUACACUCGAAGAUUUCUUCAUGAGGGAGGCAAGCCUUAAUGAACAGUGUUUUUACCUAUUUUUACCUACAUAGAUGUUGAUUUUAUGUAGAUCUAUGUAAGUAAAGAACCUACUCAUUAAGGCUUGCCUCCCUCAUACUCGAUCUCCGUCUUGUCCAGACCUUUGACCACUAAUAAGACGACCUUCUUCUAAAGUGCACCGUCAGCUUCCAACGUCAACAAACUAUGUCUUGACAGUAGACUUCCUAAACAUACACAACACCUAGAAAAAGUCUUCUACCCGUGUACAUGUACAAAGGAAUCGAGGGUAAUAAGGAAAACUAAAAGACAAUACAACCAGAAUGUAUAAAGUAAAAGACAGGCUCCAAGUUUCCUCCAAUCCUAAAGCUACUCUCGACAUACGUGUUCUCGAGAAAAGUUUACCAAAGGAUGUACUCUCAAGGAUCGGACAAACGACAAAGAAGAACCGGGGUUGUAAACGUAGCAGAACACCGGAUAUUAGGAGCUCCAACAAGACAUUGACGUCUUAAAUCACUUCAUAAACUCGGAAGACAAUCUUCCCUGCUACUCGAUAGUAUCACUCUUUAUAUGAGCACAACCAACUAUGGUAAGAUCAACUCGAAAUUACAAAUCAAGACAUCAACUAGACUACCGGGUAAACUUACAUUUUGUUUACCACGACGUCUGUCGUCUUAGAAUCCAAGUGGAGUUUAUUCGAAGUUCUCAGUUCAUCUAACGUCAAGUCAAACUACGAGUGUCUGAUCAAAGUAGUCCACGUGGUGACAUUCCGUAAAACCAGUCGAACCUAAGCUAAUCGUCACAAAUAUACACAGUUCUCAAGAUUAGACCGAAACGAUUUGGGAUGUUAAACAAACAUCCGUUCUUAUCGUCAAGACGGUUAUGGAAAGCAACAUAUUUCCACAAAAGUUGUGAACCCUCAACCGUGUCAUAGGUACGGUAAGUUGUCCCUAAAUAAUUCUAAAUAUCCUCAACCAUCUCUAGUUUUAGAAUAGGUAAACCAGUCGUCAACUAGUAGCCACCACCACAAGACACAGGUUAUCGAGUUUAUAAAAGAAAAGACUCUGGAACGUUGUCAUCAAUCAAACUCCACUUGUCAGACCUCGAUCAUCAAUCAAACUCCACUUGUCAGACCUCGAUCAUCAGUCAAACUCCACUUGUCAGACCUCGACCUAGAACUUACGCUCCCGUAAAAGGGUUAAAUGUACCCGGUUGAUGAUAGUGAAAAAUCAAACCGAAGUCUGAACACGGAUAAUUCAAUUAUGAGGUACGGCAGACGGCUACGGAGUCAAUCUAAUUAAGUGUACUAAGAUCUUUG